UUGGAGCGAAGGGCUGCGCGCCCCCUCGCGCUCCCGGCCGGAAUGCCGCCGGCGGAGGCAGACGGCCGGGUAUAAAAAAGCAGCUGCGUCACACCUUCUGGAACCUCCGAGUGACCGCCGGGGUUGGGCCGCGGGCCGCGCGGAGAUGGGGGGCAGCGCCCCCGGCCAGUCUCCGUACCAGCGGCUGAGUCAGAGGAUGCUGGACAUCUCCGGGGACCGGGGCGUGCUGAAGGACGUCAUCCGAGAGGGGGCCGGCGAGCUGGUGACGCCGGAUGCCUCAGUGCUAGUGAAAUAUUCUGGCUAUCUGGAGCACAUGGACAAGCCUUUUGAUUCCAAUUGCUUCAGGAAGACUCCUCGGCUCAUGAAGCUUGGAGAGGAUAUUACCCUUUGGGGCAUGGAGCUGGGCCUUCUGAGCAUGCGGAGAGGGGAGCUGGCCAGGUUUCUGUUCAAACCAACCUAUGCUUAUGGAACGCUGGGCUGCCCACCGUUGAUACCCCCAAACACCACCGUUCUGUUCGAGAUCGAGCUGCUUGACUUCCUGGACUCUGCUGAGUCAGACAAGUUCUGUGCCCUCUCGGCCGAGCAACAAGAUCAAUUUCCGCUUCAGAAGGUCCUGAAAGUGGCAGCUACUGAACGGGAGUUUGGCAACUACCUUUUCCGCCAAAAUCGUUUCUAUGACGCCAAAGUGAGGUAUAAACGGGCCUUGUUGCUUCUCCAUCGGCGGUCGGCACCCCCUGAGGAGCAGCACCUGGUGGAGGCCGCCAAGCUUCUUGUUCUCCUCAACCUGUCCUUUACGUACCUGAAGCUGGAGCGACCCACCACGGCCCUGUGCUAUGGGGAGCAGGCUCUGGUCAUUGACCAGAAGAAUGCCAAGGCCCUCUUUCGCUGUGGACAGGCCUGUCUCCUGAUGACUGAGUAUCAGAAGGCCCGGGAUUUUCUAGUCCAAGCCCAGAAGGCACAGCCCUUCAAUCAUGACAUCAAUAAUGAGCUGAAGAAACUGGCCAGCUGUUACAAGGACUACACGGAUAAAGAGAAAGAAAUGUGCCACCGAAUGUUUGCCCCUUGUGAUGAUGACUCUGCAGUAGGAGAAAACUGAAGUGUUUGAGUUGUGUCCUUCCUAUCGCGGCAUGCUAGUGUCUGAGACCUUCGCCCUGCUUUUGUGAUGUCUGGAAAAGAGAGAGAAAGUGAGCACUUCAGCUGUGUUCAACCAUGCCCUUGCAGACUUGCAGAGGAUGGCAGCUUGCAUCCUUAAAGCAACUCUAGUAGAGAGAAGUAUGAAGUCCUACACUCAGCAUCGAAAACAACCACACAGGGAAAGAAGUGGGAGAGACCCGGCCCAGGAGCUAAGCUGUUGGUGCCCACUGGUCCAGAAGGUGCCAAAUAUUCUUCCGCUAACUACAAGCAAGAGAAGCAAGGCUGCUGGAGCUCCCUGUUGUCACGAGUCUGGGAGUACUUUGUAGAAAGAACGAACCUCCAAGGCAGGCAGCUGCUGUGACCUGCUCGGGGCGCGGGCUGGAGCUCCACAGCCCUGGCAUUGCUGCCUCUGACCGACCCACUGAGAUGUUUUCAUAGGUGCUGUUUUCUGUUUCACAUUUUCAUACACAGGGUAGGGGAAAGUGUAGCUACUGACAAGUAGAAAAAUGCUAAUUUUUUUGAGGGAGUUUGUUUUUUUUUUUUUUUUAGAUGGAAUUAGUCCUUGGCUUUUCUCCUGGUCCCAACCCCCUUCUGGCUGCUAAUGUCCCUGGGUAAAUACAAAUAGAGAUUGCUUUGUGUAUUUUAUAGGGCUCUCUGUUUUGAAGAGAGAGAAUUGUGUUACAUGUGUUUUUGUUGUAAAUAAAUAAAACACUUCCUUGUCCUUGCAA